GACGAACGCUGGCGGCGUGCUUAACACAUGCAAGUCGAACGGAAAGGCCCUGCUUGCAGGGUACUCGAGUGGCGAACGGGUGAGUAACACGUGGGUGAUCUGCCCUGCACUUCGGGAUAAGCUUGGGAAACUGGGUCUAAUACCGGAUAGGAACCAUCUUUAGUGUGGUGGUUGGAAAGUUUUUUCGGUGUAGGAUGAGCUCGCGGCCUAUCAGCUUGUUGGUGGGGUAAUGGCCUACCAAGGCGGCGACGGGUAGCCGGCCUGAGAGGGUGUACGGCCACAUUGGGACUGAGAUACGGCCCAGACUCCUACGGGAGGCAGCAGUGGGGAAUAUUGCACAAUGGGUGCAAGCCUGAUGCAGCGACGCCGCGUGGGGGAUGAAGGCCUUCGGGUUGUAAACUCCUUUCGCUAGGGACGAAGCUUUGUUGUGACGGUACCUAGAUAAGAAGCACCGGCUAACUACGUG
rnacentral:rRNA from 1 species